rnacentral:tmRNA from 2 species
GGGGGCGACCUGGUUUCGACGGGGUCAAUCUGGAUGGGAGCAGCAAGCCGAGCUUCCGGCGGGCUCGUUAAACUGCCGGAAAACUAACUUAGACGCAGACAACGAUCUCGCGUUAGCCGCUUAAUAUAAGUCGGCUUGUCGCCUCCGCCUCGUCCGUGGGCGGAGAUCACGGCAUCAUUUAGCGGACUCAGCUGUCGCGCAGGCCUCCUGGCGCGCCGGUAAAACCUUAGAGGAGGCUGGCGGACCGUAUCCUGCCCACGCGGAGCCGGUUCGUGAGACUUAAAAGCGAGGGCUAAGCUUGUAGCGGCUCCCCUUCGGGUGGCUUCGGACGCGGGUUCGAUUCCCGCCGCCUCCACCA